GAUGAACGAUGGCGGCGUGCCUAAUACAUGCAAGUCGAGCGAACGGACGAGAAGCUUGCUUCUCUGAUGUUAGCGGCGGACGGGUGAGUAACACGUGGAUAACCUACCUAUAAGACUGGGAUAACUUCGGGAAACCGGAGCUAAUACCGGAUAAUAUUUUGAACCGCAUGGUUCAAAAGUGAAAGACGGUCUUGCUGUCACUUAUAGAUGGAUCCGCGCUGCAUUAGCUAGUUGGUAAGGUAACGGCUUACCAAGGCAACGAUGCAUAGCCGACCUGAGAGGGUGAUCGGCCACACUGGAACUGAGACACGGUCCAGACUCCUACGGGAGGCAGCAGUAGGGAAUCUUCCGCAAAGGGCGAAAGCCUGACGGAGCAACGCCGCGUGAGUGAUGAAGGUCUUCGGAUCGUAAAACUCUGUUAUUAGGGAAGAACAUAUGUGUAAGUAACUGUGCACAUCUUGACGGUACCUAAUCAGAAAGCCACGGCUAACUACGUG
rnacentral:rRNA from 1 species